rnacentral:rRNA from 1 species
GUGGGGAAUAUUGGACAAUGGGCGAAAGCCUGAUCCAGCCAUGCCGCGUGUGUGAAGAAGGUCUUCGGAUUGUAAAGCACUUUAAGUUGGGAGGAAGGGCAGUAAGUUAAUACCUUGCUGUUUUGACGUUACCAACAGAAUAAGCACCGGCUAACUUCGUGCCAGCAGCCGCGGUAAUACGGAGGGUGCAAGCGUUAUCCGGAUUUAUUGGGUUUAAAGGGUCCGUAGGCGGAUCGUUAAGUCAGUGGUGAAAUCCUACCGCUCAACGGUAGAACUGCCAUUGAUACUGGCGAUAUUGAGUAUGUAUGAAGUUGGCGGAAUGUGUGGUGUAGCGGUGAAAUGCUUAGAUAUCACACAGAACACCGAUUGCGAAGGCAGCUGACUAAUACACAACUGACGCUGAGGGACGAAAGUGUGGGGAUCAAACAGGAUUAGAAACCCGUGUAGUCC